UUACAAGAAUUUAUGGGCACCCUAGUUGUUUGUCUAUAGUCUUGUCUGUCUGUCACUGUCAACAUGAGUACUGUCACAAUUGUAUUGAGUUAAUGUCAGUUUUAUGUCUGAUAGUUAUUUUAACCCUUAGCAGGUAUUGUGGGUCAAAUUCGACCCAGAAGCGGACAUUUUCGGUAAUUAUUCUUUUAAUAUUUAUGCUACGACUGCGCGCUUCUACGUAUUCUCAGUGCGUCGCUAGGUGCGGCGGGGGGCGGAAGUGCAGCGCUGCAACUAUCUUAGGAGCGAAGUGAAUAUUUCUACUACAAUGGGGGGCUUUUUGAACGAUAGACAAAUCGAGGAUUGAUGAACGACUCAAAUGAUGAUUUGGAACCGGAAAAUCGGAAAGGACACCAAAUAUAAACCAACUUUCAGUCAUCAGUCCCAGUUUGAAGAACCAGUUGCAUCGACCUCUUCUGCAGCUUCAAUUUCAAGUCGGAAAAGGGCCCGAUGCUACCUAUGCGAUUGGAAAAAUGACCGAAAACCUUCUCUAAAUGUUUACAUAUUAUUUGUAA
rnacentral:lncRNA from 1 species